rnacentral:sRNA from 1 species
GAAAGUAGUUUGGGAUUCACCGUUCAAGAAUAAUUGAAACUUUGGAAAAUUAAAGAUUUACUAGAUUUUCACCCGCGGUAUACCGCGAGGACAAAUUAUAUUUUAAAGUUAGUAUAUAUAAAAGUUUGUAAUUUGUAACAAUCUAUGUAACUAUCUAUAAAUAUUUUUAUUUUAUAGUUUAGAAUUGUUAUUAAGUAACGUCCUGUCAAACCCGUCCCGCCAACCCGUCCCGUAAAAAAAACUCAUUUAUUUUAUUAAUGUUGAUCUUAUUUAUCAUAUGUUUAUGAAUCAUUAUCUAAAUAUUUUGUAAUUUUGUAGUAAUUAAAUGCUAUCAAAUAUUUCUGCGGUUUGAUGAUUAUAAUUGAAUUGUAAUAGUCAUGUAGAAAAACAAUAAUAAUGAUAAUUUUGUAGUAAUUAAAUGAUAUUAAAUAUUUUGAAAGUUUUAUUUUAAUAACCAAUCGUGUAGUUAAUGUAGAGAGAUUUUAGGAAGAUUGUUAAAUGUCAAAUAUUUAAUUCGAAGAUUUUUUUUCUAAUUAUCAAAAACAAAUAUUAAAAUCCAGUGACAACCAUUGUAAAUAAGUCCCAACUACAAGAUUUAUUUCACAAAAUGGCUGCAAAAAUGUAUAUAUAGACAUUUGUAAAGAAUGUGCAUAAUUACAGUUAUAACCUUAAACGAUGCACAUCCUUUAUAAAAUUUACU